ACGGCGCUGCUUGCUACUUCGUUGUCGGCUCUUCGCAUCCUGGAAGUGCAGAAGCUUCCAAGGGUACGGGUGUUCACCGGUUAAAGCGGAUCGUGAGCUGGGUUAAGAACGUCGUGAGACAGUUUGUAUGAUAUCUACUGGAGGUGUUGAGGUCUGAGUGGAAGGAUCCUUUAGUACGAAAGGAACAAGGGUUCGGCGCCACUGGUGUACCAGUUGUCUGACAAGGCAGGCUGGGCAGCUACGCGCUAAGGGAUAAGAGCUGAAAGCAUCUAAGCUCGAAACCCGCCGCGAAAAUAGACUGAGAAUACCUGCAUAUCACAGGUUUGAUAGGGUCGGGGUGUAAGUAC
rnacentral:rRNA from 1 species